UCUCUCUCUCUCUCUCUCUCUCUCUCUCUCUCAGGGCUUCCUCAGGUCUCUCUCUCUCUCUCUCUCUCUCUCUCUCAGGGCUUCCUCAGGUCUCUCUCUCUCUCAGGGCUUCCUCAGGUCUCUCUCUCUCAGGGCUUCCUCAGGUCUCUCUCUCUCUCUCUCAGGGCUUCCUCAGGUCUCUCUCUCUCUCUCUCAGGGCUUCCUCAGGUCUCUCUCUCUCUCUCUCAGGGCUUCCUCAGGUCUCUCUCUCUCUCUCAGGGCUUCCUCAGGUCUCUCUCUCUCUCUCUCUCAGGGCUUCCUCAGGUCUCUCUCUCUCUCUCAGGGCUUCCUCAGGUCUCUCUCUCUCUCUCAAGGCUUCCUCAGGUCUCU
ensembl:lncRNA